CGGACCCGCGGACCCGCGCGGAUGCGGCGCUGCUGGGGCUGCGCGCCCGGGGAGCCGAGCGCCGCGCGGGCCGGACAUGCAGUCGCUCAUCUCGCCGGUGACCAAGGCGAUCCUGGUGGCCCUGUUCAUCUUCGCCAUCCUGCUCAUCCUCUACGUGAUCCUCUGGUACAUCUGCCGCGAUGUGGACUGCGACCACGGCCUGUGAGCGCCCGCGCCCCGCGCCUCGAGGGGCUGCAGCGGCCCGGGCUCGGGGUCCCCGCGACCCCGUCGCCCGCGCGUCCUUGUCCGGCAGCGGCUCCGCGCCUUGACCUUCAGGGCUGCGCCGCCGAGCAGGGGUCCGACACAGCCCAGCCAGACUCCGGUUUCCAAAGCUCUCUCCGUAUGCGUGAGCGUCCGCCGUCAGCCGCGCGCAGUGAACAGGGAAAAGGGAACCCAGGCCCCGCGUGCGUCCUGGAGUCAGGAAAGCAAUUUUGCAGCGUCUCGUGGGCGGGUUUCUGCCUCCCAGGCUCCUGGGCCCAGAAGGACGGUCCCCAAGCUGGGGACCCGCGGGGCGGCCGGGCUCCUCCACCUCAGUCCGGGCAGCACCACAGCCCGACCCAGGGCUGCGUCCGUCUGUCCAUCCGUCCGUCAGGCUGGGACAGAGGCUGCGGCGGAGGAGGAGGGACCUUGCCAGUCCCGCCUCGCUGAUCAGGCACAAGCAGCUGCAGAUGUGGUCGGGGGAUUCGCUUGGAUGCAGCUUUUCCUUUGUGUCUUCCCAGCCACGUUGAGUGCUGCUUUGUGUACUUCUUGGCCAUUUGAACUUUGGAGCAGUUUCCAGUCCCGUCCAUUACCCAUUUUCAGUGACAGCCUAACGGGAACAGUGUGUCCGUCCGUCAGUGGCCCGGGACUGGUACGGCCUCCUUCCUCUCUUGCUGCGUCGCCUGAGAGUUUGCCAGGCGGGGUGUGAUCCAGGAGAACGCUGAGCUAGCCGGUGGUCACUUCCAGGCCAUCCGUCCUUUCCUGUCUUGACAUCUCUGACUCUAAGCCGGAUGUUAUCCAGCACGGGGGAGAAUUCCACCACCGUGAAAGACAGAGAUGUUGUAUACCAAGACCUAGGACAGAGCUCAGAGGCUGAGGAUGGAUUCCCAGCACCACACACGAGCGCGCACACACAUGCACACAUCGUCCAAGAUGGAAAGAGCUGUCUUUUGGGGUCCUGAGGACCGAACCCAGGGCCUUCGCAUGAACCUGCAUCCCAGACCUUUCUUUCUUUUUUGAGACAGUUUCUGCAUGAGUCGCUAAGUUGCCCAGGCUGGACUCAAGCUCGACACCCUCCUGCUUCAGCCUCCCAUCAGACAGUUCUCAGAAUUAAUGUCCCCCCGCCCCCAGUAAAGAGGCUAUCUACAAAGACACAUAGCGUAAAGUUCCCUUUGUGGGGUCAGAGUUACCACAGACUCACAUAGCAGUUCCCCUUAACAAGUCCUCCAGCCCUGCGUGGGUCCAGCCCUGGAAGAUGCCUGUUCGAAAGCUGUUUGUUCCUGAGGACGGGCACGCUGCAGCCUUCUGACGGCUUCCUCCGACUGCAGCGUGUUCUAUACAACUGAGCCUGAUUCACCUUCCCCAUGUGCUUUUGAGCUCCUGCAGCUUUGCCCAGCAGACCAAUUUCCUGAACGUAUCCGUUCCCCUACUACACAAGUGACUGUAGAUAAAUAUUUUCAAUGAUUUUUGUUAUUUCUUCUCUUUCUUUUUCUUUUUCUUUUUUUUUCUUUUUUUUUUGAGCCAGGGUCUUGCUAUGGGGCCCAGGCUGGCCUCGAACUUGUGGCGAUCCUCCUGCCUCAGCCUCCCUUGUGUGGAGGUGCCGGGCGUGCGCCCCACACCCGGUUUCUCGUGGCUGUUCUUGCUUGGACCUCAGCUGUUGUGGUGUUUGAUUUGGAGCUUGAGGGCAGCCGGACAGGGCUGGGCCACUCCUGCUCCGCUCCACGGGAAUAUCUUGCUGUUGACACGGAAGCAGUCGCUGGUGGAUGGCCCAGUGCCCGGCUGCUGUUCUCCACUCCCUUCCCCACCUUGCUCCCCGCCCCCGCCCCCCGGGCCUGGCUGGGGUGCAGAGCCUGGAGCCAGGCGCUGCUGCUUCUCCCCAAGGAGCUGUUUUGGGGGAGAGCGAGAGAGGUCGCGAGGGUAGCCAGAGCCUCGGCUCUGAAGAGAGCUGACCCGUGGGGGCCUAGCUUCCCCGGUGACAGACGCACUGGGCUUCCCCAGCUCUGCCGGCCAAGUGCGGCCCUGUUUCGGAACAAGGCGGAAACACGGGCCACCCAGGACAGCCGGGAACCCUCCGGGAUCUCGUGGGCCUGACGCCUGGGGUCUGAGGAAUGACCCUAAUGUGGGACCCUCCUGCCUGAGUCUCUCAGAGUGCUGGGGUGGCGGGCACGCGCCCCUCGCCCCGCGGACUCCUCCAGCGCCGCGCGUCUCCUGCCCCCUCGAAUGAGGACCCCGUUAUUACUUUGGCCCUGACAGCGUAACCCAGCCGGAUCUCCUUGCUGAAAUCCCUUCGUUUAGUUGCAUCUGCAAAAUCCCUCUGGCCACCGUCUGUCCCCGGGCCUCGGGGUCGGAGCUGAUGAGAUUUAGAGACACGAGGC
ensembl:lncRNA